AUGAAAAGAGUGCAGCUUCCCUCGUGCAGUCGUGGUUUGGUGACCACGCUGUGGCUCCAUGCAGUCAUUAGCAGGGACCUAUCAGAAAAUGCCUUUGCUGGGCUGCUUCUACUGAAGCGGUUUUGAGAAAUCCAGGUUGCUACAACCUGGAAGAAGUCUUAAAACAGUGAUUGCCAGUGGUGCUCCCUUGCAUGGAGCCCUCUUCUGCAGUAGAGGUCUAGCUCUCUUCAUGGGAAGGGUGUUAAUUGACAUGCUUCAUGCAGCAGGGUGGGUUCUUACUGUUUUCUGACAAACUACACCAGUUACACAAAAUCACUGAGAGGGGUGACCUACUUGGAGGGAGAAGAGGAAAAAGUGUUUGAGGAGACCUUGAUUUCAAACAUUGCGUUGCAUGUCCUAACCAAGCAGGGUUAUUGCCUCCUGAAGGUGUGAAAUGUAUGGCAUGAAGGCUUCCCUUCCUUUUUCUUUUUUCUUGCAGCUUUAGCAGGAAGGAGAUAGUUACUCAAGAGCAUGCAAUUCGUAUGUUUCUUAAACAUCCCUGCAUUGUGGCAAGAGAUUAAAAUACCUAGAGUGUGUCUCCUCAUCCUAUCUCUCUCAAACUGUAUUUAAAAUCAGAGUAUCAUUAGCAAAAUUGUAGGUACUCAUGGGGAACGAGGGUAUGUUUUAUGGUUGAAAGUCAGAAAGCCAACAAAUAACACUUUUGCAAAUACCUGGGUCUUGCAGGUCUUCAACAUGGUUGGUACUGAACAGCUACUUUCCUGCAUGCAGUUCAGUCCGUUGAAAUGUUGGAAGGUAGGUACCCCAAGGAUUUCAUUAGUACCACUCAACAGUCAAUGAAUAGAUGAAACCCACAAAGCA